GAUUGUGGCUCAGCGGUAGAGCACUCGCCUAGCACGUGCAAGGUGCUGGGUUUGAUCCUCAGCACCA
rnacentral:tRNA from 1 species